CCGGGCGGGUGUGUGUGUGUGAGAAAAUCAGUACCUAGGAUCCUCAUAUGAGAGAAAACACGGUAUUUGCCCUUCUGAGUCUAGCCAUUUCACUUAACCCAACAGAAAGUUCCAUCCAUUUCCUUGAAAAGCCCUCCCCGCCAUUUUUCUCGGUAGCGGAUAACUUGCCGCCCCGUGCCCCACCCACUUUUCCUUACCGGUUCAUCUGUGAAUGCACACCAAGGCUGGUUCUGUUCCGCUCGGUAAGGACUGUGUGAAUAAGCCCAGGAGAGGUACAGCUGGGCCAUACAACAGCUGUAGCUGUUUGAGAACUCCUGAUACCCAGAGUGGCUGCACCCAUUGAUACUGCCAUCAGCAGUGACUACGGGUUCCUCCAUCCCCCACAUCCGCACCAACAUUUCUUGUCCUUUUUUUCUCUUCUGAGGAGUACUCCUGAGGCUUUCUCUAAGGGGACCAUUCUUUUGCCAUGACAAAUCCUAUGCCUGGCCAUAUCUCACUUUACUUUGUCUGCUGGGCAGGUCAAACCAUCCAGGUGAAUUUAAUGUUCAAUUCCAGCACUUUUGUAAAUUAGCGUGCUGGCUAAUUUUAUGUCAAUUCGGCACAAGCUGGAGUCACUGGAGAAGAGGGCUCCUCAACUGAGAAAAAGCCUUCAUAUGAUUUGGCUGUAGGCAAACCUGUAAGGCAUUUUCUUAAUUAGUGAUUGAUGAGAGGGCCCAGCCCAUUGUGGGUGGGGCCAGUCCAUUGUGGGUGGAGCCAACCCUGGGCUGGCGGUCCUGGCUCUAUAAGAAAGCAGGCUGAGCAAGCCAUCAUGAGCAAAUCAGUAAGCAGCACUCGGUGCAUGGCCUUUGCCUCAGCUCCUGCCUUCAGGUUCCUGUCCUGACUUACUUCCAUGAUGAACAGUGGUGUGGAAGAGUAAGCCAAAUGAUCUCUUUCCUCCCCAGGUUGCUUUGGUCAUGGUGUUUCAGCACAACCGUAGUGACCCUGACUAGGUCGAUCAGUGUGUGGAGCCCGCAGUAACAUCACACCGCAAAUCAGUGUCUGAGUCUUUCCCUCUUUCCAAGCUUUGGAUCUGCUUGGCUUUUUAACAUAUUUUAUUGUGUGUAUGGUUGUGUGUGUGUGGUUGUGCAUGUGUGGUUGCGUGUGUAGUUGUGCAUGUGUGGUUAUGUGUGUGGUUGUGUGUGUAUAUGGCUGUGUAUGUGUAGUUGUGUGUAUAUGGUUUUCUGUGCGUGUGAUUCUGUGCGAGGUUGUGUGUGGUUUUCGUGUGUGUGUAAGGUUUUGUGUGUGGUUGUGUAUGUGUGGUUAUGUGUGUGGUUUUUGUGUAUGUGUAUAUGUGGUUGUAUAUGUGUAGUUGUGUGUGUGUGAUUGUACGUGGGGUUGUGUGUGUACGGUUUCCUGUGUGAGUGAUUGUGUGGGGUUCUGUGUGGUUUUGGUGUGUAUGUAUGUGUGGUUUUAUUGUGUGGUUCUGUGUGGAUUUGUGUGUGUAUGGUUGUAUGUGUGAGUGGUUGUGUGUGUAUGGUUUUCUGUGUGUGCGAUUCUGUGCAUGAUUGUGUGUGGUUUUCGUGUAUGUGUAAGGUUUUUUGUGUGUAUGGUUGUGUAUGUGUAGUUAUGUCGUGUGGUUGUGUGUGUAUAUGGUUGUGUGUGUGUGGUUGUGUGAGUGGUUGUGUGUGGGGUUAUGUGCAUAUGGUUGUGUGUGUGGUUGUGUAUGUGUAGUUAUGUUGUGUGGUUGUGUGUGUAUAUGGUUGUGUGUGUAUAUGGUUGUGUGUGUGUAGUUGUGCGAGUGGUUGUGUGUGGGGUUAUGUGCGUAUGGUUGUGUGUGUGGUUGUGUGUGCAUAUGGUUGGAUAUCUAGUUGUAUGUGUGAGUAGUUGUGUGUGUGUGGUUAUGUGUUUGUGGUUAUGUGUUUGUGGUUAUGUGUGUGUGGUUAUGUGUGUGUGGUUAUAUGUGUGUGGGUAUGUGUGUGGUUGUAUGUGUGUGUGUGAUUGUGUGGUUGUGUGUGCAUGGUUAUGUGUACUCAGAGGACAGAGGUCAUUCUAUCAGGUUGUACCUUGUUUUUAAGAUGAGGUCUGUCAUUGGCCUGGAACUUACUGAUCCUCCUGUCUUCAUUCCCCCCAGCCAUGGGUUUACAGAUGUUUACUGCCAGGCCCAGCUUUUCCCUGGGUGUUGGGUGUCCUAGGCCCUCAUGCUUACAGGGCAGGCACUUUGAUGACUGAGCCAUCACCCGAGCUCUUCAAGUCUCACCGGCUUAGAAGAGGUGAGACUUCAAAUCUUACUGUUCCCUGCAGGUCUAUAGGAGACCCUCCCCAGGGAGAGGCAGGGCAUUCUGGGGACACUUAGAUGGAGCCUGUCAUCAAAAUGCCCAGAGCCGUCUGGGAGGGUGCAGCCUGUGUGGGCCGAGGGAUCAGAGACAGAUUCUUAUUGAAGGCCAGUCACGGGGAAACCACUGAGGCCAGGAUUGGCUUGCACUCUGAUUUCACCGUAAUGAGCAGACGAUGAGUAAGAGAUGACCCAGCUGCUGGUAGGGGGGCAGCCACACUUCCUCUGCAGAAUUACACAGGAUCCUAAGACUUGGGCUCAGGAAGCAGGUCUGGGCCUAGCACUGUAGCCAGUGGGAAGUCCCAGACUACAUUUCUGAGUCCCUGCUAGGUGUCAAGAGUAGUGCUAGAUGUGAGACUAUUGUAAAGCCACAGGCCAGUUGUCAGGAAGUUUAUUAAUAUGCAGAAAUGAACAAAAAUAUCCACUGAUGUUUAUAUGUUCUCUCACCACAGUGAGAGAGUCUCUGCUUGGGCCCCCUGAGCUGUGGCUGGAACCCUGGCCUAGGGUUCUCGUCCUGAUCCUAGGGCUUAGGGACCACACAAUGAGGGCCUGCAAGCUGGAAGCUCUAGGAUUACUUCUCUCAGCCUCAGCCAGACCUCCAGAGCACCCUCGAAGCAAGCUGCAGGCCCUGCCAAGACACCUUGGCUGGGUCUCCUUAGCAUGACAAGCUUGCGUCAACGCUUUUCUAUCAUUUGCCUUUUGAAGUCCCCCCAGGUGGGGUCCUUCAUCUGGCUGUGUGACCACAGCAGGCUGGAGGAGGGGUCUUGGUGGAGCCUGUCCCUCGUGUCGGUUAUGACUGGGCUAGAGGAAGGCAUGGGCCUGUGGCUUAGCAUUCUCCGGGUACCAUAAGCUGAGAGAAUUUUGCACAGAAACAGGCAGGAGUGGUCUACUGGUGGAUUGCCACUGGAGAGAAGGAAGGGAGGGUCCCUAGCAUUAGUUGUUUCUACCGUGACUUCUGGCGGUCCAGUAGAGACAGAGGUUUCCAGAACACCUAUGUGAGGAGACUUCUGCUUCCUUGAAAGGGGUCUAUUGUGUUGAUUGCUGAGAAACACCUUAGUUGACUUCUAUUUUAUUGCUAUGUGCACAUAUCUGGUGUGUGCAUCCAUGUAUGUGUGUCUCCAUGUUUGUGUGGUGUGUGUGUGCAUGUGUGUGUAAAUGAUGUGUGUAUGGUACAUGCAUGUGUGUCUAUGGUAUGUGGUAUGUGUAUCCAUGUCUGUGGUGUGUGUGUGUGUGUGUGUGUGUGUGUGUGUGUGUCCAUGUUUGUAGGCUGUGUGUGUUUGGCAAGAGGAAAUGUGAAGUGAUAAGAGCGAGCUGAGAUGUUAAUAUGAGGAUUAACAUAGUACAAACACACUCAUAUACAUACAUCACACCUUCCACAUACAUACACAUACCACUUACACACAUAAACACACACCAUAUAUAUAUAUAUAUGUUCACACAUAUGCACGCACACAUAUAUAUAUACUCAUGGGUGAACUUGUGUAAAGGUUUUGUGUCUCUAGUUUGAACUAAGUGAUGCUAGAAUGGGUGCUGUGUUGAGUGAUGCUAGGAUGGGUGCUGUGCUGAGUGAUGCUAGGAUGGGUGCUGUGCUGAGUGAUGCUAGGGUGGGUGCUGUACUGAGUGAUGCUAGGGUGGGUGUUGAGUUCAGGGAUGGCAGAAGGGGCACUGAAGUCAGUGCUGAGACGCUGUUGCUUAACCAAGUGCUAACAGGAUGGGUGCUGAACUGAGUCCUGACAGGGUGGGCCCUCCAAGCAAGUUUCCAUGCUAUCUAGGGAAGUGUUCUUGCCUGAGGAGCCUUGAGCUGCCUGGUCCUCUGGGUCUAUGUGUAGCAGAGGGUAGAAGCAGCUGGUGUUUGGGACCUUGCUUUAGAAUCUGCCAAGUCCCAAAUGUUUCUUGCCUGAGGAAGAGUGUCCUUUCUCUGUGCCCUGGAUUCCUCUGCAUUUAAGGAAUGAUCUCAUUUAAAUGGCGUGUUGUUCUUCCGCGUAACCCACAGGCAACUGUUGAGAUGCAGACAGCAAGGAAGACACCCCCCAAUGUCAGUCCCUAGGGCUCUGUGGGAUGGACACUGAGGUGAGCUGCCUCCCAUGAAGGACUGGAGAAGAGGAGGCCAGGGAGGAAGACUCCAGCAGUGAAGCACAGUGGUCCGUCUUCACACCAAGCCGACAGCAGUAUCUGAAGUCAUCUACUUCACAACCUGUGUUGCCUCUCCUUAGAGGUUGAAGCGUUCCUGGCCUGGAAUGCAGACUCAAGACUCCAAGAACAGGAGCCUCCGUUUGCCAGACGCCCCGUGGCAGCCACAGUGUCCCCUUAAAGGAAGGGAGGUGCAUCCGUGGCAACACCAUGGAAAGAAGUGGUUUCUGUUGGUCCUCAGACAUUCCUUAAGGAAGAAAUCAGCACCUUGAGCUACACUCGCAGCACCUCAUGGGACAGACAUGCUACUUUUCUUCACGGGGAAGUAUGUGCUCAAGGAAUCAGUAUGCGUGCAGCAGAAGAGGACCCAAAAGACUCCUGUCUUCUUUACCCUGAGACUUCCUCUUACCUCCUAAGGUCAGCUGGGGGAGUAGCUGGCCGAGGGAGUAGCUGGCCGAGGGAGUAGCUGGCCGAGGGAGUAGCUGGCCGAGGGAGUAGCUGGCAUCCAUCAGGUCCCCCGCUUUACCUUCUGUCAUGCUUCAAGGCCUUUUCAAGACAAGAUGGGCAGCAAGAGAGAGAAUGACCUAGAGGGUGAACUCCACAGAGCAUGCCCGGCAUAUUCUGCCUGUGCUCACUGAUCACUGUGGACCUGGAGGGCCACAGGGAGUGAGUGCAGGAGCACAGCCCAGCACAUGUUCAGGAACUCUCAGGUCUCAGAAAUUAGAUCCUCGAUACCAUGUGGCCUCCUUGUUCUUGAGAGAGGUGUCACUCUCUGAAGCCAGCAUCUUCCUUCGUUACUCUUUCCCUCUGUCCCCUGUCCUUUCCUCCUCAUCCCUACAGCCUUUCAUCUGCCCUCACUUUCCCUCAGGUUGUCUUGGGGCUGUCCCCACCCUGCUACAUUGCAACCUUCACAGAAACCAUCCUGCCCUCCCACCCCCACCCCACCCUAGAACACAGAGCACCCAACUUCUUCCAAAGAACCAUUUCACAUGUGAGAUCCCCCACACGAAUGUGGGGUUGGCAGAGUGCCAUCUUUCUGACAUACAUUUCCUCUUCCUUUGCAGUUAAAAACCUUUGACCGCGAGAGCGACCUCCACACUUGCUGUAAUAGAAGCUUGCACAAUUGUGCUGGGGAACAGAGUCUGGGGGCACGGGGCGGGCACUCUGAGACUCACCCCUGCGAGACUCCAUUCUGUGGAGCAGGAGUGAGGCGGGUUCUCUUGUAGAGCAGAGGCAUCAGGAAGGAGGCAGCACAGGACCAGCCUUUUCUCACAGGGAGGUAACUCACUUAGUGUCCCUGCUCUAAGCUGGGAAGAGUCUCCCACCUCAGUGCCUUUUGGUUUGAAGUGAUGUCUCACAUCACCCAGACUCGCUUUGAUUUCAAGAAUGGCAAACUUCUGGUCCCCCUGUCUCCACUUGGCAAAGUUCUGGGAUUACAGUCGAGGACCCCUCAGGCAGUUUAGAUUCUUGACUUUAUAGGAUACACCUCACCUAUUUAGCCUUGUGUCGAGGUCACCCACUCUGGCCUUGGUCAGAACAUGGACUGUAGGCACCUAAAUCCAGGCUGCUCUCUUCUCACUUUGUGUUACUGAGCCUCAGUUUCCUUGUCUGUAAAAUGGCCACAAUAAUAUUUUAUAAGGCUUAAGUGAGUUUACAUGCAGUAAGCUUUUAAAACAGCACCUAGCACUGGGUCUCCAGCGUGACCAGCUACCUGGAUUCUCCUUUGGUCCAUCGCUACUUUGUACAGUCACCCUGGCGUAUUUGAGAUCAUCAAGGUUAGGAUGGCUUGCCUUGGACUUGUAUAUACUGUGCCUUGCUCCUCUCCCAGAACUAGUAUUGCCCAUGUCCAUCUGCUGCUGGGGAGAAGGUUCUACCUUGACUGCUCAGAGCAUUGGCGUUCAGCUAAAACAUACAACGGAGACCCUCGAGGUCACAAGGGUGCGACAGUUGUUCUUAGGAAUGAUAGCUUGUCACAUAUUAUUUAUUGGGGAUCAAACGAAGGUUUCCCCCAGCAACCAUCUGUGCUGGCUUGGGGGUGAUCUCCCCGUCUCCUCGUGGGAGAUGACUUGCUGCCUCACCUGCUGCUUCUGAUUCCUUGGCUUCCAUGACAGUCACCGCAGUGGUGUCCAUGUGCAGGGCCUGCUCAGAGGACAGUAGUGACCUCUGUUCAGCUACGUGGGUGUCCUUGUAAGAACAGCCUGUCAUUUCAUCAGACCUGAGGAAACAUGACUGACCCGAAUGACCGUGGGCAGACAUGACCUCACUGAUAGUGGGUAGAUACAGUGCGAGCACAGCCGGUGUGUCCAGGCCACUCUGUCCAGAUGUAGGCUGCAAGGGAGGACAUUGCCACGUGUUCUCAGGUUGCCCUCAGCCACAACCAGUGACCCAAGUCAUCUGUGCACACCUAACCUUCUGAGUACAGAGAUGAGGGUGUCUCCUCUGGGUAGCUCCAGCCUCCAGUGGCCUCAGGGAAACAUGGCAGGGCCCUGAACCUUGUUUAUACUGCAGUGUGAAAACCUUGUAAGAGAUCAGGGAUCCAGCCACAGACUCAGCCUUGCUGGGACAUACAUGUCCUGGAAAUCCUGGCUCCUCUAUGACCCAAAUAGAGGGCUCUGAAGAGAGGUGUAAGCUCCAGAGUUUAAAGGGUCAGGUUGAGACCACGUGCCCCCUGCCCCUGCUCUAUAUCCCCAACCCCCACCCUGUCAGAAUAAAGUUCCAAAGUCCCUGGCCAGUAAAUGACUCCCCUUGAGAGAGGCCACCUGGAGGGUAUUAUUCGUGCUGGCAGUAAUAGAAAACACAGCAAGAGAACAACUCCUCACCAAGUCCUAUGUGGGCCCUGCUGUCAUGUGAGGUUCCUCACAGAACAGUUGUCUUGUGCAGUGGCCCAGCAACCACAUGGGAACAAUACCACUCCUCUCCCCUUCCAGCAAAGACAGCCCAGGUCCAACUGCAUGAGGACACCCUCAGAGCUGAACAACAGAUCUGAGGGCCGAGUUUUGGUUCAGACCAGGCUGCCUGAGGCUAGGCCUACUCUUCUCCUGCCACCCCAUUAGGCCGGAGGAUACGGAGCUCGCUCACUGGAAAAAGAACUUGUGCAGGGGCCUGAGUUCUGUCAGAUCCAGGAGGAGGAAGAAGUGGCUGAACUCUAGAUGGAUCUCAGGAAGAUGGCUGUCCUGGUCUUACAGUGGGAGGCUGGCUCCUUGUGGGAGCCAGGUCCUAUGAAAUGAGAAGGACAAGUCAUGGAUAACUUUGACCCCAGACCAUGCAUGUCCCCAUGCCUGCUAGCUGCCCUCCUGUGAGAGGAGCUGUCAGCUUUCCACCUCACAGACAUCACUCUUCAAACAUCAAUUCUCACUCUGGCACCCGCUUUCUUUGGAAGAUUGCAAAAAUUAAAUCGUUUUUAAGCA